GAGAGAGAGAGAGAGAAUCCUAAGCAGGGUCCACACUCAGCACAGAGUUUAACACAGAGCUCUAUUCCACUACCCUGGGAUCAUGACCUGAGCCCAAAUCAAGAGUCAGACAUUCAACAGACUUAGCUACCCACGCACUUCAGUCUACUUAAAUUUAUUAAGACUUGUUUUGUGACCCAACAUGUGACCUAUCCUGGAGAAUGGUCCAUGUGCACUUGAAAAGAACAUGUAUUCUAUUAGUAUUGGAUGGAAUGUACAUCUCUGUUAAGGCCUUCUGGUUUAAUGUGUCAUUCAAAGACACUGUUUCCUUAUUGAUUUUCUGCUGGAUGCUCUAGCCAUUGAAGUAAGUGGAGUGUUAAAGCCCCCUACUUUUAUUAUAUUACUGUCAGUUUCUCCCUUUAUUUCUGUUAACAUUUCCAUUAUGUACUUAGGUGCUCCAAUGUGGGGUGGACAGUUAUUCACAAUUGUUAUAUCUUCUUGUUGGAAGAGUCCUUUAUCAUCAUGUAAUAAUGCCCUUCUUUGUCUCUUGUUACAAAGUAAUUUUGUCUGAUCUAAGUAUUGUUACAUUGAUUCCUGCCUCCCCAUCCACUUCUAUUUACGUAUCUUUUUCCAUGCUUUCACUUUCAGUCUGUAUGUGUCUUUAGUUAUAAAGUGAAUCUUUUGUAGGCAACAUAUAGAUGGGUCUUUUUUUUUUUUUUAAUUCAUUUAGUCACCUUGUUUCUUUUGAUUGGAGCAUUUAGUCUUUUUCCAUGGAAUUAUUGAUAAGUAUGAACUUAUUAUUAUUAUUGUUAUUGUUAUUAUUAAUUUGCAGGUACUUUCUGUUCCUUUAUUCUUCUCUUGCUCUCUUUCCUUGUGGAUUGAUGGCUUACUUUAGUGCUAUGCUUGGGUUCCUUUCUCUUUUUUGUGUAUCUAUGAUAUGGUUUGAUUCGUGGUUACCAUUUCAUUCAUAUAUAAUGUCUCAUGUGUACAUCAAUUUAUAUUAAGUUAAUGGUCACUUAAAUUCAAGCACAUUCUAAAUUUUUAUUUGUGUAUCCCCUAACUGAAUUUUGUGUAAAUAACCAAUUUUACUACUUUUUGUUUUAAACUCCAUACUGACUUUAUAAGUGAUUUUAUCUAUUACCUUUACUGCAUGCUUUAACAGUGAAUUUUUUUUUCUUUCAUCAUUUCCUUCUAGCUAUAGCCUUUUCUUUCCAGUCAAAGGAUUCUCUUUAAUGUUUCUUGUCAGGAUAUUCUAGUGAUGAUGUAUUCCUUUACCUUUUGUUUGGGAAGUUCUUUCUCUCUCCUUUUAUUCUAAGUGAUGGCCUGCUAGAUAGAAUAUUCUCAGUUACAGGUUUUUGUUUUUUUUCCUUUCAGCACUUUGAAUAUAUCAUUCUACUCCCUUCUGGCCUGCAAAGUUGCUGCUGAAAACCAGCUGAUAGCCUUACAGGGUUUCUCUUGUACGUAAUUUUUUUUUUCUUGCUGCUUUUGAAAUUCUCUCUUCACCAUUACUUUUUGCCAUUUUAAUUAUUAUGUGUCUUGGUGUGGACCUCCUGGUUCAUCUUUUUUUUUUUUUUUAUGUUUAUUCAUUUGUUUUUGAGAGACAAAGAGUGGAGCACAAGCAAGGGAGGGGCAGAGAGACAGGGAGAGAGAGGAUCUGAAGCGCUGCACUGGGAACACAGAGUCUGAUGCAGGGCUUGAACCCACGAGCCACAGGAUCAUGACCUGAGCCGAAGUCAGAUACUUAACUGACUGAGCCACCCAGGUGCCCCUCCUGAGUUCAUCUUGCAAGGGGCUCUCUGUGUUUCCUGGACCUGGAAGUCUCUUUCCCUCUCCAGAUUAGGAACUUGGGAAGCAUCUCUUAAUGUCAACAUGAACUUGAAAGCAACUGGCUGCAGAUGCUGAUUUCUGAAAGGAUGGGAGUCUUCAACCCCAGCUGUGUCUGAAUGUCCAACAACAAAGCUGAUUCCAGGAGCGUUCUGCCACACACAAACUCUGAGACCACACAGCAAUGGCACCAUCAUCAGGGAGGUAACACAGCACACUCAGUGGCUGGCUCUCUCCCCACUUUAAUUCUGGACAGAGUUGGGCGUGAGUUGAUAUGAUCAUCUGCUGCUCUUUUAGGAACAAAGGUGCCCAGCUGAGUUUGUUGAAGGGCUCCAGGCCAGAGUUCAGUCUUUCUCAAUGUCACACAUCUGUAAGGUGCCUAGAUGAGGCUGGAGUAUGGAGAGUGACAAUCUGUGGCCACAUACGGAGACCACAGAUAUAAGGAGGCAGAUUCCUAGACCUUCGCUGGCUACCCCAGGGCUAUGUUUUAUUCCAACAUUUAAAAAAGGCCAUCUAAAUACAUUUUCUUGAAAGAAAUGUUUAUUAUGUUUAUUGGUCAAACAGUUUCAAACAAAUCCAGAACAAGUUUUCACAUUUUGAGCCUUUAGUGCAGAGAGACUAUGUCAUGCGUGAAAGAAAUGCUGGUCCAGUGGAGCCCUUCCCUGAUGCAAUUAAUAUUGGGAUGAUCAGGCAGAAAGAGAAUUAUGUGACAGAGCUCUGCUCAGAAAUCCUCUUGAAGAAGAAUAGGAUUUAAAGCUCAUUUUAAGGUUGUCACAACAUAAAUGUGCUUAAACAACUUGUAAUCUCAACUUCUUAAUUUCAAAACAAAAUACCCCAGGUAUCAACUAUCCCUUUAAAUAAAAAAAAUAA